rnacentral:sRNA from 2 species
ACGCGUAAAGCGCCGUAGGCAGGAGCGGGGGACCCAGGUAAGUGCCGGCAGCCCGGCCGUCGGAAGGCGGAGGGGACACCGGCUGGGGGUGAAGCCGUCCGCGAGAGCGGGUGGCCGGGCAACUCACAGGCCCGAACCCGACAGCUCACCUCGUAGGCGUCGGUGAGGAGAACC